AUUGAACGCUGGCGGCAUGCCUUACACAUGCAAGUCGAACGGCAGCGGACCUUCGGGUGCCGGCGAGUGGCGAACGGGUGAGUAAUAUAUCGGAACGUACCUUUCAGUGGGGGAUAACGUAGCGAAAGUUACGCUAAUACCGCAUAUUCUGUGAGCAGGAAAGCAGGGGAUCGCAAGACCUUGCGCUGAUUGAGCGGCCGAUAUCAGAUUAGCUAGUUGGUGAGGUAAAGGCUCACCAAGGCGACGAUCUGUAGCGGGUCUGAGAGGAUGAUCCGCCACACUGGAACUGAGACACGGUCCAGACUCCUACGGGAGGCAGCAGUGGGGAAUUUUGGACAAUGGGCGCAAGCCUGAUCCAGCCAUGCCGCGUGAGUGAAGAAGGCCUCGGUUGUAAC
rnacentral:rRNA from 1 species